GAUGAACGCUGGCGGCGUGCCUAAUACAUGCAAGUCGAGCGAACAGACGAGGAGCUUGCUCCUCUGACGUUAGCGGCGGACGGGUGAGUAACACGUGGAUAACCUACCUAUAAGACUGGGAUAACUUCGGGAAACCGGAGCUAAUACCGGAUAAUAUAUUGAACCGCAUGGUUCAAUAGUGAAAGACGGUUUUGCUGUCACCUAUAGAUGGAUCCGCGCCGCAUUAGCUAGUUGGUAAGGUAACGGCUUACCAAGGCAACGAUGCGUAGCCGACCUGAGAGGGUGAUCGGCCACACUGGAACUGAGGCACGGUCCAGACUCCUACGGGAGGCAGCAGUAGGGAAUCUUCCGCAAUGGGCGAAAGCCUGACGGAGCAACGCCGCGUGAGUGAUGAAGGUCUUCGGAUCGUAAAACUCUGUUAUUAGGGAAGAACAAAUGUGUAAGUAACUAUGCACGUCUUGACGGUACCUAAUCAGAAAGCCACGGCUAACUACGUG
rnacentral:rRNA from 1 species